ACUCCCUCCAUUGCACUGAGGGCAAUGCAUCUUCAGUGGGACUCGAAAUUCCUGGAGAAAUGCUUUUGUGAAAAGCUGGCAAUAAUUUCUUUAAAAUCUCUUAGUUUUCCUUCUUGCUGUGUUUCAGAAUGACAUCAAGCAACU
rnacentral:other from 1 species